rnacentral:misc_RNA from 1 species
AAGUCGUAACAAGGUUUCCGUAGGUGAACCUGCGGAAGGAUCAUUGCCGAAUAACAUGCGAUUGCGGGGGGGAUCUCUCUCCCCCCGCCGUCCGCAUUUCUUUCUUCGUCUCUCCCUACGUGCAUCCGCAAAGGUGGCCAGCGAGGGUUGGGACCUCGUGCCCCGCCCUCCGCGCGCUUUUGUCCGAAUAAAAAGCUCCUUUUUUCCUGUAAUGCGAGUGAUCGAAAAGAAGCGUCUCUCCGGAGACGCGGAAAGAAACACAACUUUCAACAACGGAUCUCUUGGCUUUC